GAUAGUAUUUUUUUUUUACUUAAUAGGAGGGUUUACUUCUGAUGCUUGAUGUUGGUCCGACAAAGCAGGCUGUGCUGCAAGAAGUCCAAAUGCUUGUUUUAUGUUAGUGCAAAAGUACAAAAGAAUGUCCAUUAAUUAGUUUAUUAUUUGAAUUUCUUUUUGCCAUCAAUGUCUCUGUUCAAUGUACUGUGAAUUUUGGCAUAGUUGUAUUUAAUCGAAACUUCUAAUAUCUCUUUUUGCAUUUACGCAGAUGAUAUUCAACAAGAAUGAUGAAUUAGGACUUGUCGUAUUUGGAACCAAGGUAUUUUCAAGUGUCUGAAUUAGUGUGAUUCAAGAAGAGGAAGUGCGUGNNN
rnacentral:lncRNA from 1 species